GCUUGCAGACAGCUAACUCUCAAGGCAAACAGAAAGUGGCAGUGUUUACCCAGCUUCUAUUUGGAGCGUGCUAGGAGCCCCUGACGCGUAGAUCGCUAGCUGAUGGCGGAAUUUGCACACAAAUUCAGAAUUCAUCAUCACAGUCCACCUUCCCUUCCCUUCUCUGUAUUCCUCGUUUUUAGUCAUCCAAGCUGAACGCAGACUUGUUUGGGGUACGUUGGUCCUAGCUUCCACCUGUCUCCAGAAUGCAGUACAGAGGUCAUGGUGUCCUGAGAGUAGGGAGAUGGGAAGUGAGAGUGAGCCCAGGUUCAGGGUGCACGCGUGCUCAGUGGUGUCAUGACCCCAUGGACUGUAGGCCUCCAGGUGACCCCAUGGACUGUAAGCCGCCAGGCUCCUCUGUCCAUGGGAUUCUCCAGGCAAGAAUGCUGGAGCGGGUUGCCGUUUACUACUCCAGUGAGCCCAGCCCCUUUGAUGAAAAGAGCAGACCAGCACCAGCCGGGCAGUCUCAGUUUGCUCAGCUCCAGGGAACUUGCUCCCAUGGGCAGCCACAUGGCUCUGGAUUCACCAGCACCUGGAGCCCUCCCCUCUCCUCCAAGGAAACAUCUUGUCCUCUUCUACCUUUGGGAGAAUCCACGUGGGCUCUGCUCCUGCCUGGUCAGGCACAGCUGUGACAGCCUCAAGACCACCACUCCCAGCGUGAAUAUGACGCUUCAGUGGUGCUGAGAUGAAAGCCCCUGACAAGAAGGGGCCUCAUAGCUAAAGAUUGAAUCUUAUCCAUGUCUGAAGAUUGACAGAAAGACUCCUAAUUUUAAAUAUAUACAUUUAGAGGGACUCUCCUGGUGGUUCAGUGGUUAAGAAUCCACCUUGCAAUGCAGGGGACACAGGUUUGAUCGCUGGUGGGGGAAUUAAUAUCCCACAUGCCUGGGGGCAACUAAGCCAGCAUGCUGCAACUAUUGAACCAACUCAAAUAGAGUCCGCGCACCGCAACAAAGAUCCCACGUGCCACAGCUAAGACCCAAUGCAGCCAAAUAAAUAAAUAAUUUCUAAAUAUAUAUGCGGAUGU
ensembl:lncRNA